rnacentral:rRNA from 1 species
AUUGAACGCUGGCGGCAUGCCUUACACAUGCAAGUCGAACGGUAACAGGUCUUCGGAUGCUGACGAGUGGCGAACGGGUGAGUAAUACAUCGGAACGUGCCCGAUCGUGGGGGAUAACGAAGCGAAAGCUUUGCUAAUACCGCAUAAGAUCUACGGAUGAAAGCAGGGGACCGCAAGGCCUUGCGCGAACGGAGCGGCCGAUGGCAGAUUAGGUAGUUGGUGGGAUAAAAGCUUACCAAGCCGACGAUCUGUAGCUGGUCUGAGAGGACGACCGGCCAAACUGGGACUGGGACACGGCCCAGACUCCUACGGGAGGCAGCAGUGGGGAAUUUUGGACAAUGGGCGAAAGCCCGAUCCAGCCAUGCCGCGUGCAGGAUGAAGGCCUUCGGGUUGUAAACUGCUUUUGUACGGAACGAAAAGACUCUUUCUAAUAAAGAGGGUCCAUGACGGUACCGUAAGAAUAAGCACCGGCUAACUGCGUGCCAGCAGCCGCGGUAAAAC